CUCCGCGCCUCCAGAAUACGAUAAUACGCCUCCAUAUAUCAUAGUAAAAAAAAACAAAGUACUUAAAAGUGAAGAAGCCGAAUUAAUCCCCUUCUCCCAACGAUCUUGGGGGACCUGCGUGAACUCGGGGUAUUUGGGUGGGGGAGCAUAUUUAAACUACUCCAACCGAACUUUACGACCUGGUCUCACAUGCGUGGGCUAAUGGCUAACUAAGCGUACCAUCGCUAACCAAGCGUACCAUCGGUAAUAGUAUUAGGUAAAGGUGCGUGUUCUAAAAAAAAAAUAACCACGCGUGGUGGACCUGGUCUCACAUGCGUGGGCUAAUGGCUAACUAAGCGUACCAUCGCUAACCUAGCGUACCAUCGGAAAUAGUAUUAGGUAAAGGUGCGUGUUCCAAAAAAAAAAAAAAAAAGAUAA